AAUUAAGAAAUCAUAAGAUGAUGAACUGUAAAUUCAUAUAAGAUAAAAUAUUUUAAAUA
rnacentral:tRNA from 1 species